ACAUGAACAUCGACAUUUUGAACGCAUAUUGCGGUCCAUACUGACUAGUUUCUUAAAUGAAGCUGUAUGGACCACACAUGGUUGAAGGGUCGUUAGUUUAUGCUAACUGAAUUGCUUUUUAACGAAAGCUACAUCAUGAGGUGUUGUCAACCUUAAGUGUGUUGACAUCCCUUGAAAAUACCGAUUUAUCGGUACACAAUUAAAACAAUUUAUUGUGAAUGCUUGUUUUGAUCAAAGAAAACAAAUAUCAAUAUUAUAUAUUUUUAUAUACACUUUGAAGUUAGUAAACUUUGAUUAAGCGUUUAAACCUAUGGUUUUGCGCAAUUUGAAUGCUCUCUGAACGCUUCAAUUUCGUACAUACUAAAUAUAUAUGAUAUUUUCCUGUCGUUAAUUUUCUUUGUUGAUAAACGUUCCCACACAUUGUCGAAAGCGGGUGGUGUUCACAUUUGUAAAUGUUUUAUAUUGCAAACCAAACCAAAGCGACCUCAACUCAUGUGAGACUACCCCC
rnacentral:rRNA from 1 species